UACGAAGGGGGGCUAGCGUUGUUCGGAUUUACUGGGCGUAAAGCGCACGUAGGCGGUUUGUUAAGUGAGAGGUGAAAUCCCAGAGCUCAACUCUGGAACUGCCUUUCAUACUGGCAAGCUAGAGUCCGGAAGAGGUAAGUGGAACUCCUAGUGUAGAGGUGGAAUUCGUAGAUAUUAGGAAGAACACCAGUGGCGAAGGCGGCUUACUGGUCCGGAACUGACGCUGAGGUGCGAAGCGUGGGGAGCAAACAGG
rnacentral:rRNA from 1 species